UCUAUAUAUGUGUAUACAAAUGUCCAAUUACACACAAAUAUAUGUGCACGUGUGUGUGUGUGUAAACAAAUGAGUGCCCAAAGAGGCUUGAGAUCAGAAGACUGAGGUCCAAACCAACCCAGGCAGAAAAUUCCAAGAGAAUUUGUCUUCAAUUAUCCAGCAAAAGGUCAGAAGUGGAUGUGUGAUUCAGGUGGUAGAACACUAGCUGUGAGUAGAAAUAGCUCAGUAAGAGACUCAGUACCAGCACAAAGUAAAACACAUUGGUUAUAAUGUAAAGGGGGACCGUUCCAUGCCCUCCAGGGGGACUAAGUCAAUUAUGGAAAGUUCACAUACUGAGGUUGCAUGGAGCUGUUGAAAGUAAAGAUAGAAAUAAUUUUU